rnacentral:misc_RNA from 1 species
GUGAAUCAUCGAAUCUUUGAACGCACCUUGCACCCUUUGGUAUUCCGAAGGGUACGCCCGUUUGAGCGUCAUUGUAAUCUCACUUCCAUGACUUUUGUUGUGGAAUGUGGACUUGGACGUCUGCUGUGUCACAGCGGCUCGUCUUAAAUGCCUGAGUGUACCCCGCUUUGCGGCGUAUUCGGUGUGAUAAACAUUUCACCGGAGUUUGGUCUCUGACCGCGCUAUAGCAAUUGGUGGGCUCUAUGCUUUCCAACCGUCUCUUGUGGACAAUCUUUGACAAUUUGACCUCAAAUCGGGUGGGACUACCCGCUGAACUUAAGCAUAUCAAUAAGCGGAGGA